GGGGGAUAUUGCACAAUGGAGGAAACUCUGAUGCAGCAACGCCGCGUGAGGGAAGACGGUUUUCGGAUUGUAAACCUCUGUCCUCAGGGACGAUAAUGACGGUACCUGAGGAGGAAGCUCCGGCUAACUACGUGCCAGCAGCCGCGGUAAUACGUAGGGAGCAAGCGUUGUCCGGAUUUACUGGGUGUAAAGGGUGCGUAGGCGGCCCUGCAAGUCAGGCGUGAAAGGCGGAGGCUUAACCUCCGAGCUGCGUUUGAAACUGUGGGGCUUGAGUGAAGUAGAGGUAGGCGGAAUUCCCGGUGUAGCGGUGAAAUGCGGUGAGAUCGGGAGGAACACCAGUGGCGAAGGCGGCCUACUGGGCUUUAACUGACGCUGAAGCACGAAAGCAUGGGUAGCAAAC
rnacentral:rRNA from 1 species